GUGUCUCUCCAGCAGCACAUAAACUAAACUUGGAAUGAUGCAGAGAAGAUUAGCAGAGAAGAUGCGCAAGGAUGACACACGAAUUUGUGAAGUGUUCCAUAAUUUG
ensembl:snRNA U6 U6 spliceosomal RNA